rnacentral:sRNA from 2 species
CCGCAAGGCUGGGAUGGUCCUUCCGCGUAACACUUGCCGAAGCCUUAGCAGCCCGAAAGGGUGCAGUCUCAACGACUAUAAUCAUGAGAGGACUGCUUAAAUGCUAGUCUGCAUACUGCAGGCAACACUAUCAAAUUGCGGGAACACCCUAAAGACCUCAACACCAAGCGAUCGUGGGAAACCAUGGCGUGGCCGAGCUAAUAGCCCUGGGUAUGGUAACAGCUUGAGGUAUGAUGCUCUCUCGGGAGCUGAAAUGGGCAAUCCGCAGCCAAGUCCUAAAGCACUCAUGUACGGGUGCCAUGGAUGCUGUUCACAGGCCAAAUGGUAGUGGGUGAUCCCAGCUUGGGGUUGCUUAAGAUAUGGUCGGGCCCCUUCAGAAAUGUUGGGGAUAAGUUUACGCUCACGAGCAUUGCUCGUUUUUAAAUCAACCGUUCCGUAGGUGAACCUGCGGAAGGAUCAUUAUCGAGGGGGCUCGCCCCCGUCAAGAUACCACCCCUUGCCUUUUGAGUACCGUCUGUUUCCUCGGCAGGCUCGCCUGCCAACGAGGACCACAUCCAAACCUUUUUGUAUCUGUAGUAAACGUCUGAUAAAACAAAAAAUCAAAACUUUCAACAACGGAUCUCUUGGUUCUGGCAUCGAUGAAGAACGCAGCGAAAUGCGAUAAGUAGUGUGAAUUGCAGAAUUCAGUGAAUCAUCGAAUCUUUGAACGCACAUUGCGCCCUUUGGUAUUCCUUAGGGCAUGCCUGUUCGAGCGUCAUCUAACCCUUCAAGCAUUGCUUGGUGUUGGGCGUUUGUCCCGCCUCUGGCGUGGACUCGCCUCAAAGACAUUGGCGGCCUGUGUAUUGGCUUCGAGCGCAGCAGACUCGCGCGUCGUCCCCUCUAGCACCAGGUGUCCAGUAAGCCUAUG